GACGAACGCUGGCGGCGUGCCUAAUACAUGCAAGUCGAACGCAAUCUUUUAACAAUGAGUGCUUGCACUCAGCGUUUUAAGUGCGAGUGGCGAACGGGUGAGUAACACGUGGGCAAUCUGCCCAAAAGUGGGGGAUAACACUUGGAAACAGGUGCUAAUACCGCAUCAACCGGCUGACCGCAUGGUCGGCCGGGCAAAGACGGCGUCAGCUGUCGCUUUUGGAUGAGCCCGCGGCGUAUUAACUAGUUGGUAAGGUAACGGCUUACCAAGGUGAUGAUACGUAGCCGAACUGAGAGGUUGAUCGGCCACAUUGGGACUGAGACACGGCCCAAACUCCUACGGGAGGCAGCAGUAGGGAAUCUUCCACAAUGGACGCAAGUCUGAUGGAGCAACGCCGCGUGUAUGAAGAAGGUCUUCGGAUCGUAAAAUACUGUUGUCAGAGAAGAACACGUGAUAGAGUAACUACUAUGGCGCUGACGGUAUCUGGCCAGCAAGUCACGGCUAACUAC
rnacentral:rRNA from 1 species